rnacentral:lncRNA from 1 species
AUGAUCAUGCCCAGCCAUCUUGAGAGGUGGCACUUCCUCAUUGGUCCAGGCCCUUUUCCCAUCAGCCUCCUCUCCUUCAGUCACAGCUCAGUCUCCUCACCUCCCCGACUCAUUGCUUCCGCCAUGUCAGGAGGUCAGGGGCAUCUCUCCUCCUGCAGGCCACCCAGUGCUGUCACCAGUGGCUCCUCCUGGAGGUCUCCAUGGCAUCUGCCAGUGAGUGGCCUGUGUCGUGACUCUGCGGACAUCAUUUCCGGUGCUCCUCCAAAGUUAGGCACAGUGACAAUCCUCUCUGCUCCUGCUCCAGUGCCCAGCACUCAGUCGCAAUGCAGGUGCACCUGGAUCUGCAAGUAACCCAGAUGAGUUGGAAAAAGACAUUGUUUGGAUAAUCACGUUUGCUGCCUGGUGCCUUUCCUACAUCUCCCAACUCUUACAAAAUCCCUAUCUCUCACCGUGAUUCCUCUCUUGGAAUUGCCUGCUGUUCCCCCCGGAUGGUG